rnacentral:rRNA from 1 species
GCGAAAGCGAGUCUUAAUAGGGCGUCUAGUCGCUGGGAAUAGACCCGAAACCGGGCGAUCUAUCCAUGGGCAGGUUGAAGGUUAGGUAACACUGACUGGAGGACCGAACCGACUACCGUUGAAAAGUUAGCGGAUGACCUGUGGAUCGGAGUGAAAGGCUAAUCAAGCUCGGAGAUAGCUGGUUCUCCUCGAAAGCUAUUUAGGUAGCGCCUCAUGUAUCACUGUAGGGGGUAGAGCACUGUUUCGGCUAGGGGGUCAUCCCGACUUACCAAACCGAUGCAAACUCCGAAUACCUACAAGUGCCGAGCAUGGGAGACACACGGCGGGUGCUAACGUCCGUCGUGAAAAGGGAAACAACCCAGACCGUCAGCUAAGGUCCCAAAGUUAUGGUUAAGUGGGAAACGAUGUGGGAAGGCUUAGACAGCUAGGAGGUUGGCUUAGAAGCAGCCACCCUUUAAAGAAAGCGUAAUAGCUCACUAGUCGAGUCGGCCUGCGCGGAAGAUGUAACGGGGCUCAAACCAUACACCGAAGCUACGGGUAUCACGUAAGUGAUGCGGUAGAGGAGCGUUCUGUAAGCCUGUGAAGGUGAGUUGAGAAGCUUGCUGGAGGUAUCAGAAGUGCGAAUGCUGACAUGAGUAACGACAAUGGGUGUGAAAAACACCCACGCCGAAAGACCAAGGUUUCCUGCGCAACGUUAAUCGACGCAGGGUUAGUCGGUCCCUAAGGCGAGGCUGAAAAGCGUAGUCGAUGGAAAACAGGUUAAUAUUCCUGUACUUCUGGUUAUUGCGAUGGAGGGACGGAGAAGGCUAGGCCAGCUUGGCGUUGGUUGUCCAAGUUUAAGGUGGUAGGCUGAGAUCUUAGGUAAAUCCGGGAUCUUAAGGCCGAGAGCUGAUGACGAGUUACCCUUUGGGUGACGAAGUGGUUGAUGCCAUGCUUCCAAGAAAAGCUUCUAAGCUUCAGGUAACCAGGAACCGUACCCCAAACCGACACAGGUGGUUGGGUAGAGAAUACCAAGGCGCUUGAGAGAACUCGGGUGAAGGAACUAGGCAAAAUGGCACCGUAACUUCGGGAGAAGGUGCGCCGGUGAGGGUGAAGCACUUGCUGCGUAAGCCCACGCCGGUCGAAGAUACCAGGCCGCUGCGACUGUUUAUUAAAAACACAGCACUCUGCAAACACGAAAGUGGACGUAUAGGGUGUGACGCCUGCCCGGUGCCGGAAGGUUAAUUGAUGGGGUUAGCUAACGCGAAGCUCUUGAUCGAAGCCCCGGUAAACGGCGGCCGUAACUAUAACGGUCCUAAGGUAGCGAAAUUCCUUGUCGGGUAAGUUCCGACCUGCACGAAUGGCGUAACGAUGGCGGCGCUGUCUCCACCCGAGACUCAGUGAAAUUGAAAUCGCUGUGAAGAUGCAGUGUAUCCGCGGCUAGACGGAAAGACCCCGUGAACCUUUACUAUAGCUUUGCACUGGACUUUGAAUUUGCUUGUGUAGGAUAGGUGGGAGGCUUUGAAGCGUGGACGCCAGUUCGCGUGGAGCCAUCCUUGAAAUACCACCCUGGCAACUUUGAGGUUCUAACUCAGGUCCGUUAUCCGGAUCGAGGACAGUGUAUGGUGGGUAGUUUGACUGGGGCGGUCUCCUCCUAAAGAGUAACGGAGGAGUACGAAGGUGCGCUCAGACCGGUCGGAAAUCGGUCGUAGAGUAUAAAGGCAAAAGCGCGCUUGACUGCGAGACAGACACGUCGAGCAGGUACGAAAGUAGGUCUUAGUGAUCCGGUGGUUCUGUAUGGAAGGGCCAUCGCUCAACGGAUAAAAGGUACUCCGGGGAUAACAGGCUGAUACCGCCCAAGAGUUCAUAUCGACGGCGGUGUUUGGCACCUCGAUGUCGGCUCAUCACAUCCUGGGGCUGAAGCCGGUCCCAAGGGUAUGGCUGUUCGCCAUUUAAAGUGGUACGCGAGCUGGGUUUAGAACGUCGUGAGACAGUUCGGUCCCUAUCUGCCGUGGACGUUUGAGAUUUGAGAGGGGCUGCUCCUAGUACGAGAGGACCGGAGUGGACGAACCUCUGGUGUUCCGGUUGUCACGCCAGUGGCAUUGCCGGGUAGCUAUGUUCGGAAAAGAUAACCGCUGAAAGCAUCUAAGCGGGAAACUUGCCUCAAGAUGAGAUCUCACUGGGACCUUGAGUCCCCUGAAGGGCCGUCGAAGACUACGACGUUGAUAGGCAGGGUGUGUAAGCGCUGUGAGGCGUUGAGCUAACCUGUACUAAUUGCCCGUGAGGCUUGACCAU